rnacentral:rRNA from 1 species
CCUACGGGUGGCUGCAGUGAGGAAUAUUGGUCAAUGGCCGGAAGGCUGAACCAGCCAUGCCGCGUGAAGGUCAGUGCCCUAUGGGCGUUAAACUUCUUUUGUCAGGGAACAAAGGCGGGGACUAGUCCCCGGAUGAGGGUACCUGAAGAAAAAGCAUCGGCUAACUCCGUGCCAGCAGCCGCGGUAAUACGGAGGAUGCGAGCGUUAUCCGGAUUUAUUGGGUUUAAAGGGUGCGCAGGCGGCCUGUUAAGUCAGCGGUAAAAGCCCGGGGCUCAACCCCGGCGAGCCGUUGAAACUGGCGGGCUGGAGUUGGAGAGAAGUACGCGGAAUGCGCGGUGUAGCGGUGAAAUGCUUAGAUAUCGCGCAGAACCCCGAUUGCGAAGGCAGCGUACCGGCUCCACACUGACGCUGAGGCACGAAAGCGUGGGUAUCGAACAGGAUUAGAUACCCCAGUAGUC